UAAGCGUUCUUGAUCUUUGUUUAGCACUGUAAUUCAGCAAUCUCAGUUGUAUUAAUUUAUAUAAUUCAAUUAAUUUUCCUUCCCAGUUCACAGUACUUUAUAUAAAACUGGAGGUGGAAUGCCAUGAACACUGGUUUUGGUCAGCUCAGGACUCAUAGUGGAUUGGGGCUGCUCACGGUUCAGGCUGUAGCACUGAGGGACAUAGAAACAAUCCCAAACGUACAGUAGAGUACCAUACCUACCAUGGCUCCUUUCCUGCCACUAUUCUGAGGCUGCAAAGGGGAGAGCUCCUUAACUCUUCUCAGCACUCAGUAUGGCAUUUAAAAUGGGAGCAGUACUGUAUGUUCCGCAUUCAGUUCCAGACAUGAACUGCACAGGUCCACUUAAACAUAUAAUUUGCUUCUUUCCAAUUCUGUGACUUGUUUAAGGGAAAGAAUAUGUAUGUUACUGCUAUACACAGAUUACCACACCAGUAGAGGAUGAACUUCCAAUUCCCAGCCAAUCAUAUUCUCUAAAGCUCUUCCAAAGGGCAUCGAUAAGUGGCUCAAUAAUGGAGCUGAAGCCUAUGGAAUGAAAUGUGAAGAAUAUUAUGAAUUAUUAAGAAGGAAUGAAAUGAAGAGAAAACUUGCUGGGCUGUCGAAUUCCUGAAGGUGUACAACAAAAGGAGCUAUGGAUGGUUCCGAAUUGGACCAGAGACAUUCAUUUAUUCUUAAUGGGAGCAGUUCCUGGACCUGAGGAUUACUGACAUCAACAU